CCAGCAGGACAUGAUUUUGAAGUAGACAAUCCGUGACAAGUGAAACUUCCUUGAGUAUUCACACAAAAAUGAGUCUCACUGGGACAUGCUGUCUUUUCAGGAUCAGAACACUCAUCGAUAUCUGGAAAACUCAACUUUUCCUUCUCCUCACUGGUCAAACUGCAUCGAAAAUCCACGAGAUCAAUUGAAUACAUUAACAAUAAUGAGAUUAUCUGAUUACCUCUGCAUGUGUGAACCUCUUGAUCCCAUUGGUAACCAGGUGGACACGUUUCUUGUCCGGCAUCCUCGUGCUCCACGUAAUCCUUUGGUCCUAUUAUUAGGAGAGUAUUUCAACAAAUGCAUGAGCCACCUCUCUUCAUACUCCAGAGUUAAAGAAUCCUUGUCAUACCCACCGAUAUCUCGGUACCAUAAACUCAAUCAAUUGGCGCAGCAAAGCAUUCCACAGUGGACAUUGCAUAGACAACAAUUGAGACAGACUAGUCUGAGGGAUUAAUUACGUACCAUUGCAGAGAUUAGUGGAUGGGUUGUAACGAUAGCCCAGGGGACAGUGCAUUGAGGCUAGUGUUGGGGUGACUCCAGGCAUCGCCAGGGUUGUUGGUGACUGGGUGGACAUCGCUGAGGAAGAGGAGGAUUCGGUGAUGGAGCCAUCGGUGCGACAGGUUUUUUCGUCCUCGAGUAAGACGUACCCAGUGGGACAGGCGCAGGUGUACGAUCCUUUGGUGGGGACGCAUAUGUGGGAGCAUAGGAGACCCUUGAACAUCUGGCAUAAGUCGUCAGAACCUGGGGGAAUCGUUAAUUGUAUUAGUGAUAAUUAAUUGUUUUUCUAGGUAUAAAAUACUGAUGGUAAAAUACGAGAUUUAUGAGGUAAUUUACGGAAUUUUGAAAAUGUAAAUUACGGGUGAAAAAAGGAUUUAUGAUUUUGAAAUUACGGAGGACAAAUUGGAAAGUUCAUAAUUGUAAAUGUUUUAUUGGUUUAGUAGGCGUGUUUAGUAACAUUUUUGGUAUUCUCGUGGAAGAUUCUUGAAAAAAUGUCUAUGGAAAUUGGGGUCAGAUGAUUCUGAAUCAUCGGAAAUGAAGACAUUUCGUGUUGAUAAUAAAGUUUUUUUAUUGCAUUUGCGAUUUAAUUAAUCAAGAAUUUUAUGUGAUUAACACCCGGUCGGACCUCAUAUAUUACGUCCUAAACGGAAAUAAUUUACGUCUUCAAAGUUAUAAAUUACGGGUUAGAAAUCAGAAUUUACAUUUUCAAACUUUUAAUUUACGUUUUAUUAGACCUAAUUUACGUUUUCAAAAGUACGUUAAUUACGUUUUAAAUCUCGUAGUUUACGAUUAGUUUUUUUCAGUGUUUUUGUUGAAAGUUUGAAUUUAUUAAUUAAUCGUGGCAAAUUAAUCGUGAUUUAUGCUCUAUUGAAGGUAUUGAACUGUUUCUUAAUUUUUGUCGAUUUUUUGUGACAGUUCAUUUCGAAGAUAUGACUCGUUUCAGUUAUCGAAGUUGUAAUAGUUGACAGGAGAAAGGACACGAGAAAUCGAAACCUUGAUUAAGGAUUAUGGAUUAUUUCUUCCGUCAGCCAAGGUUUACCACAAAAAUGAUGAAUGCGAUCCUUCAAUCGUAGGUCAAUUGAAGAUUAUUGAACAGAUUUUGUGGAAGAGGUCAAUAAAUUCAUUUCUGAGGGAGUAACUGUCAACAUUUCUUCUUUUUCUCUUUUCACGAUCCUAUCAUUUUUCUACAACUCAUAUAUUGGGAAGAAAUAAAAAAAAAUAUUUACGAGGUGUUGAUGCAUUCCCUGCACUCGUAGAAGAGGAAUCCGAUUCCUGUGUAACCGAGAUUUCACCAGAAUCAGUCGAAUCAGUGGAGGUAGUCGAUGGAGUGGUUACCGUUGUCUUCACUGUACUUCCAGAAGUUGUGCUCUGGUCAUCAUUUGUCGUUGGUGACGAGGUGGUUGCCUUCUCACAGCAUUCUAAGAAGGCCGAGUCCCAGGGUUUGCCGAACCGAAAGGCUUUGAAAGCACAAUUUUGGCCCAGAGAUCCACUUAAAAUUCCUGAAAAAAAUCAGUAAUUACUAUGGAGAGCAUUACGUAAUGAGUAGAAAUAGUGGUUACAAUAAACAAUUAUCAGCAAAUCGUUCCGGGACUAGCUUACUUUAUCUCACAGUAUGAUAAGUAUUUCUUUUAUUUUCGGUGUUUCCACUUGAGAGUGGAAAACAUUUUUAUGAGAGAAAAUUCUAGGAAGUUUGGGGGUGAUGUGUGUGCUCUGUUUUCUGAAUGUAUACACAGGUGCAUCAGUGAGACCAUUGUUGAUGAGAGAGUCAUCAGGUCCAGAGUGUUGUAUCCCUUAGUCUUUUAGUUAGUUCCUUUAAGGGAGGAGCCUGCUUUAGAGACUUCAAAAAACCGAUUUUUUUUUUGCGUAAAUCACUUCCUAAACUAUCCAAAAAUAUGCCUCCAAAAUUUCAGAACAAAAUUCGGAUUAUUUCCGGAGAUACAGACGAAAUAGUGUGCAAGCGUCGAGCAGGUAUACGAGCAUCACGAAAACUUUGACACGCCAUUUCUCGGAUUUCCAUUUUUAUGAUUUUUUCAAAUUGUUGGACAAGGUAGGAAAAAAAUAAACGUCCUAUCGAAACGAAUCAAAAUGCGUUGAAUUUGGAAUUAAAUUCUCUUCCAGGUGAACCUAACAUAUCUUAAGAAAGUUAACAUUAAUCCGAUUUUUAAACGAUUUAAAGUAAAUUUUUUUUUAAUAAAAAUGCAUUUUUUUCAAUCUGCGAAAAAUUGUAGAAUUUUUCACUUUUUGUUGAAUUUUCGUGGUUAACCUGGGAAUUACACUAUUGAAAAUUAAACAUUUCUUUUGUUCUUUUGUUUCACAUGAAAAUUGCGACCUGCAUCUUGCCCACCACACAGAAAUUACACACUCGAGGCGCCUCCGUAAAUUUCUUCAAACAUGAAGAAUAUCUAAUGAAUAAUAAUAAAAAAAUUUGAGAAGACUCUUCAAAUAUAUAUUUCUUUCCUUUCCAAAAAAAUCCUUGAAAAUAUAGAUUUGAAGCCUCUAAAGCAGGCUCCCCCCUUAAGGGGUUAUUCUCAUGUGAUCACUUCAAAAAAUCGAUUUUUUUUAAAUAUUUUGACAGUAAAACCUAUUGAAAACAUACUGUGAAAAAUUCAGACCGAAAUUCAUAGUAUUUGAUAAGUUACAGCUCAUAGUCGCCGACGUGUCGUAAGCGAUUGUCUACCAGGCUUUCAACUUUAAACGCGUUUUUCUCGAAUCAUCAUUUUCUGAAACGGUCAAGGUCCUACAAGAAAAAUUCAGACAACAUGAACAGCCGCUAUCACCUUGACCAGUGAACUACCUUUUUUUGUUGGGGACUACUUUGACUUUAAAAAAAUAUAUGUUAAAAAUGUAAAAAACGAAAAAAAAAAAUUUUUUCGUAUAUUUCAAAAUACAAAUAAAAAUAUAUUGAAAAAUCAACAUGAUUGAAGUUU